GCAUCUCUCCAUGUCCGACCCCGGAGCUCAGUUCUCGGUCUGCAAUUUCUACACCACAACCUUUGCAAUCACCACCACCACCACCACCACCACCCCUAGGUCCCAUGUCAGCAGGUGCCAGGUUGCUACAAAGGUGACAGGGCACAUUGGGAAGAAGGCUUGUUGAUUGCAGAAGAUACUUAUGCCCCGUAUUUCCAGUGCUAUGAAGUGCAAUGAGCUGGCCUGAGACUGUCAGAUGGAUUCUCCAGGGAAAGUGUUUUCCAGGAGCUUGCCAUGAACUGGAUUGAAGGAGACCUUUACAGAAAGCUGCAAAUGAUCAAAAUGCAGAGAGUAACUGACUAUGGGUGCCUAGCCCUAACUGAUACAUCCACAAUAUGACCUUACAUCCAAGACUCAAGAAACAUGGAGGAUGUUCAGAAAGAUUACAAGAGCCAGAAGCCUAGCAAAGACAACUUAGAUGUGUGUGACCUGCAUCACCUAGGGAACAGGACAAAGUAUUGAGAGCAGCCUCCUACUUGGGAAAAUUGGACCAGAACAAUGGCUCUUCCAGUGCCUGUUCUUUCACUCCUAUUUUGUGUUGUGGAGAAGAAAUCCCCUUUAUGCAUAGAGAACUUUUCCUUGGUAACAGACCUGGAGCAUCCUGUGCAGAUUCUGUCCAGGGCCUGUCUUGUGAUAAUCCAGUUGGAAGCUUCCUGGGACUUCCAAUUGGAAGCUUCCUGGGGACUUCCUUUCCUGCAAUCACAGCUCCUCUCCUACACACAGCAAGUUUCUAAUGCUAUUCUUGCCAUUAACCCUACUGUGUGCAAAGUGCAUUGACACAGAAAUCUGCUGCAUCUCUGAAAUUGCCUCUGCUUCUUCCUUAAGAAGCCUAAACUUGUAUGAUCCUUGCUGACUGUGCAGUCUCACACAGAAUUCAGUUACCUAUCGUGGGAAGACAGCAAGGACUUUACCUUCUCUAUCAGGGCAUCAGCAUUUCUAACACAUCUUUUGUCCCAUGCUUUAUCAACCUAUGCACCUCUCAGAACCUCAUGAUGACUUGAUUCUCAAAGGCAUGUCCUAUGUUGCUUACAGAACUUUCUGUGCAUGUUAGGAGAGAUCCUAUUUUACUAACUUGUGUAUUUAAAAGACAUGUUUCCACUAUCAUGAAGGUAUCAAAACAUAUUUUCAGACAACAAAAAAAUGACAUAUAUUUUACUUCGAGAUGGGCCACAAUCAAUUCAUUGGAGAAUAUUGACUAAACAUGGUAGUAUAUACCACCAGGAAUAAGUGUAAACACAUAAGCAAAUUGUAACUGUAUUGUGGCAAUUGUAAGUUCUGUCCUCUUUGCUUGAGACUGAGGAUAUGACAUAUUAAUUUAAAUAUAAGAAACUAAAUACAUUCUCAUCACAGUGAAACUAUACACAAGAAUGCUAAAAUUUCAAAGGACUCUGGGUGUAUACAACUAAGCAAAAAUUCAAUGACCUAAUUAUAUGUUUGCUCAAGAAGAGCCUGUUACUGACUUGAAAUGAGGAACUAGUAUUUUGCUUUUAUAUUUUGGUAGUGAAGGCAGGGUUGGAUUAGAAAUGAAAACAUAAUAAAAUCCAGUUGUCACUCACAUGAAAUGAAACAUUCUAUACCAUAAUUUUCUAUUUUGUUCUUCAUUAGUGGCUAUAGAAUUACAGAAAAGCAUUACAGUUUCCCAACUUCCCAUGAUAAAUAAGAAACAAUAAGAUGCAAGCAUCACACCUUGAGGUCAGUAACUCCAGGUCUGACUUCUCCCACUAGAAGCAGUUUAGUGCCAGAAAGUCUAUACCUCCUCUUCCUCUUGCUCUUCCUCUUCUUCCUCUUCCUCACCCUCUUCCUCCUCUUUUUUUCUACUUCUUUUUCUCCUUCUCUUCUUCCUCUUUCUUCUUCUCCUCCUCUACUUCUUUGUAUCUUGCUGUAGUCAUUUAAUGUGUUUCCCUAAAAGAAUAUUUCCUGCUAUAUAUAUCUUACUGAUUUCUGGUUUCUUUAUAAUUUCUAGCAUUAUAUAUCUAAUGUAGAAAUUCUUGGGUUUAUAAACGUUAUUCAAGAAGUAUAGAAAGAAAUUAUGGUAAAUAGUUAACACAAAAGUUCAUGGGAAUGGGGAGAAAAGUUCAUGGGUAUGGGGAGAAGUGCUUGCCUUGCAACUAUGAAGACCAGAGUUAAAACUCAGAAGGAAUAUUUUUUAAAAAGAUUAAGUAUGAUCAUACAUUCUCAUAAUCUUAUCUAUGGGAUUCAGAGACAAGCAGAUAUCUAGGUUCAACAGCUAGUCAGCCUAAGCUACUUGGCCAGAUCCAGGCCAUUGUAAAACUCUGUCUCAAAAACGAAAUUGGACUGUGCCUAACGAUAGCUGACAUUGUCCCCUGACCUCCACAUUCAUAUCCAGAUAUAUACCUGCAUGUCUGCACAUACAUACACACAUAAAAAUGUCCUAACUUGUGUAUAUUUUUCUUUUUCGUUAGUUUCUUCAGUGAACAUUAAUUCAUUUUAAUUUUACUUUCAUGUUAGUAGUAUACACUGUGUGCUAUAUACAUAUGUAUAUAGGUAAAAUUAUAAAAUAUGUAAGCACACCCUUUUCUCAAACAAACAAACAAACAAACAUUAGAAGCACUAAAGAGGAUAAUAGGCUUUUUCUACAUAGAAUUCAAUAUCUUUUCCUGUCAAAUUUAGGCCUGAGUAGUUUGGAAUACAAUGAAGUCUUGGGCCAACACUCUUUUAACAUUUAAAAUAGAUACGUUUUUAUUUUCUUCCCAAGUUUUACUCCCCUCUCUCAAGUCAGCAUUUGACUUUAAACUACAUAUAUGUUGACAGUAUUAUAGGAACCUGUAAGUAUAGAUACAAUGAUCAAUCAGGUGGUGAGUAUAUCACUUAAAAAGCAAGAUGAAAACGAUGGUCUGUGAGCAGGGGGAAGCAGAGGGAAGUCAAAUUAAAGACGUUUCUUUCUCAUUCACGGCAUAAAACACCUCUACAGUGACAGAAACUUCAAAAGAUGUGGAUAUCUACUUAUGCUUUUUGCAAGAACAAAGUUUCUCAAGUCAUCAUCAAAGGCAUGCGAUGGACUACUUGAAGUGUUCCUGAAUAGAUGCUCAAUUCUUAAAAUUACUGUGACUUUCUUGUAUCCAUUAACUCCAUUGUAAAAUCUCCAUUGAUUUAAAACAGCUGCUAUUACAGAUCUG
rnacentral:lncRNA from 1 species